AGUGAACGCUGGCGGUAGGCCCAACACAUGCAAGUCGAACGGCAGCACAGGAGAGCUUGCUCUCUGGGUGGCGAGUGGCGGACGGGUGAGGAAUACAUCGGAAUCUACCUUUUCGUGGGGGAUAACGUAGGGAAACUUACGCUAAUACCGCAUACGACCUACGGGUGAAAGUGGGGGACCGCAAGGCCUCACGCGAUUAGAUGAGCCGAUGUCCGAUUGGCUAGUUGGCGGGGUAAUGGCCCACCAAGGCGACGAUCGGUAGCUGGUCUGAGAGGAUGAUCAGCCACACUGGAACUGAGACACGGUCCAGACUCCUACGGGAGGCAGCAGUGGGGAAUAUUGGACAAUGGGCGCAAGCCUGAUCCAGCCAUACCGCGUGGGUGAAGAAGGCCUUCGGGUUGUAAAGCCCUUUUGUUGGGAAAGAAAUCCUGUCGAUUAAUACUCGGUGGGGAUGACGGUACCCAAAGAAUAAGCACCGGCUAACUUCGUGCCAGCAGCCGCCGUAA
rnacentral:rRNA from 1 species